rnacentral:rRNA from 1 species
AACGAACGCUGGCGGCAGGCCUAACACAUGCAAGUCGAGCGAGGACUUCGGUUCUAGCGGCGGACGGGUGAGUAACGCGUGGGAAUGUGCCCUUCUCUACGGAAUAGCCCUGGGAAACUGGGAGUAAUACCGUAUACGCCCUAUUGGGGAAAGAUUUAUCGGAGAAGGAUCAGCCCGCGUUGGAUUAGGUAGUUGGUGGGGUAAUGGCCUACCAAGCCGACGAUCCAUAGCUGGUUUGAGAGGAUGAUCAGCCACACUGGGACUGAGACACGGCCCAGACUCCUACGGGAGGCAGCAGUGGGGAAUCUUAGACAAUGGGGGCAACCCUGAUCUAGCCAUGCCGCGUGAGUGAUGAAGGCCUUAGGGUUGUAAAGCUCUUUCAGCUGGGAAGAUAAUGACGGUACCAGCAGAAGAAGCCCCGGCUAACUCCGG